rnacentral:lncRNA from 1 species
CUUCAACAGUAACUUACUCCUUCAAUUCAUAGAUUAGCUUUUAAAAGAGCCUAAUACUUAAAGAAUAUGGUGUCACUGAGCAGCUAUGUUCAAGGUAUCUUUAAGAACUCCUUAAGUUUUUUUCUCUCUCUUUUUAAUUUCUUCUUUUUGAUCCCUAAGUUCUUAAAAGUGCAAAUAACGUGUUUCCUUCCCUUAGCGCUUGACAUGUUUUAUCUCGUGAUUUGAAUUUCCAGGAUCCUUGAGGAGGCAUUGUUUGCUCUUGCUUGCCUGCCAUUUUACCUCAUGCAUCUAAUCAAAAUUGGACAUCGGAAAAUGGAAGCUCAUCACAGUCCACAGGAGACAAAGCCCUUGAUUCAUGGUGUAGAAAUGUCAAGGUGUUAUUGGUUGCUAUCUAUAAUUUGCCUCUUUGAGCCUAUCAACAGGAAGACCUCUGGAACUCAUUGAGGUUGGCAUCUUGAAUAAUGGUUCUUUGUCAGUGUACCGGAGGACUUUGAAAACGUCACUGCCGAUCUGUUAGAAGUUGUCUAAUUCCUCUGAAAAUACCUGUGUCUACACAACAUCAUUUGGGUUUCUCC